ACGCUCGACACCUACGGAGGCAGCAGUGGGGAAUAUUGCACAAUGGGGGAAACCCUGAUGCAGCAACGCCGCGUGAAGGAAGACGGUUUUCGGAUUGUAAACUUCUGUUCUUAGUGAAGAUAGUGACGGUAGCUAAGGAGCAAGCCACGGCUAACUACGUGCCUGCAACCGCGGUAAUCUGAGGCGGGCUGGCAAGGC
rnacentral:rRNA from 1 species